UACCAGCACCCCGAGUGGUCGGGACGUUUAUUGGGCCUAAAGCAUCCGUAGCCGGUUCUACAAGUCUUCCGUUAAAUCCAACUGCUCAACAGGUGGGCUGCGGAAGAUACUAUAGAGCUAGGAGGCGGGAGAGGCAAGCGGUACUCGAUGGGUAGGGGUAAAAUCCGUUGAUCCAUUGAAGACCACCAGUGGCGAAGGCGGCUUGCCAGAACGCGCUCGACGGUGAGGGAUGAAAGCUGGGGGGAGCAAACCGG
rnacentral:rRNA from 1 species